UAGUUAGUAUUUUGUAGACUUAGG
rnacentral:piRNA from 1 species